rnacentral:rRNA from 1 species
UGCCAGCCGCCGCGGUAAUACGGAGGGUGCAAGCGUUAUCCGGAAUCACUGGGCGUAAAGGGAGCGUAGGCGGUUUUGCAAGUCAGACGUGAAAGGCUACGGCUCAACCGUAGUAAGCUUUUGAAACUGCAAGACUAGAGUGCAGGAGAGGCAAGUGGAAUUCCUAGUGUAGAGGUGAAAUUCGUAGAUAUUAGGAGGAACACCAGUGGCGAAGGCGGCUAACUGGACUGAUACUGACGCUGAGAUGGCAAAGUGCGUGGAUCAAACCGGAUUAGAUA